rnacentral:lncRNA from 1 species
CACGUGUCAAAUCCCCUGUUUCGUGGAAUUAAGUUGUGAGUUGAUGGUCUCCUCUAUUUUGUUGUUCUCUUGGAAUUGCAGGGUCUAGGAUUUGUAGGCCAGCAUAGGAUAUGUUUCUGUUAGACAUGAAUUCAUAUGCAGAGUUGGUCAUAUGUGAUGUCGUCAGUCCUGUGAGAACGAACAUGUGUAGUUGUACUAUUGUGAUGAAAUACAUGAUUCUAUAGUCAAUGUUGGGCAUGACACUCGCAGUCAAUAUCUAUAAUCCUAAACCUAAACCAUAGGUAUGCGAUCUCUGGAGUGUUCCAGUGGUGAAAUCUGCAGCACGUACUCUUCAGUUAAUCAAAUUAUCCAUAUAUAGUUCCAUUGAAACAUAAUUCUGUCACCUCUGAUUUUUGUUUAGGUCCAUAUACAGCAGUCGUACAAUUGUAAAUGUCUGAAGUUCUGAACUAAAGUUAUGCUUGAUGUGAGAGGAAACCCAGAUUCUUGCUAUGGUACUGAUGGAAAAUGGUCGCAGCAUUCAAGUGUAAUAGUGGCAUUUUUCGGAUUGCACUAUUGUUUCUUCGUCCUGUUCUUCUUCUUUAGUAAAGCAUUAAUAUUUCCCCACUUUGUUUUAUUUCCUUAUAACCUCAAACCUACCAACUUUUGUGUCUGUGUGUGACAGUGAUAGGUAUUUGGCCAAAAUCUGAUUAGGUAAUCAGGCAAACAGUGAAGCCAUUAUAUUCUGAACGUUAUUGCAGUUGUAUAUAUAGCUAUCUUUUCACUAAGAUUAGUCCCAAAGGUAAUUAAACUUA